rnacentral:rRNA from 1 species
UACGAAGGGGGCUAGCGUUGUUCGGAAUUACUGGGCGUAAAGCGCGCGUAGGCGGACGCUUAAGUGUGGCCUGAAAGCCCCCGGCUCAACCGGGGAGGGCGGCUGCAAACUGGGCGUCUUGAGGGCGAUAGAGGUCGGUGGAAUUCCUGGUGUAGCGGUGAAAUGCGUAGAGAUCAGGAGGAACACCCGUGGCGAAGGCGGCUCUCUGGAACGCAACUGACGCUGAGACGCGAAAGCGUGGGGAGCAAACAGG